GACGAACGCUGGCGGCGUGCCUAAUACAUGCAAGUAGAACGCACAGUUUAUACCGUAGCUUGCUACACCAUAAACUGUGAGUUGCGAACGGGUGAGUAACGCGUAGGUAACCUGCCUGGUAGCGGGGGAUAACUAUUGGAAACGAUAGCUAAUACCGCAUAAUAUUAAUUAUUGCAUGAUAAUUGAUUGAAAGAUGCAAUUGCAUCACUACCAGAUGGACCUGCGUUGUAUUAGCUAGUAGGUGAGGUAACGGCUCACCUAGGCGACGAUACAUAGCCGACCGGGGAGGGGGGUGGGCGACGCUGGGAGUGGGACGCGGCGCAGACUCCUACGGGAGGCAGCAGUAGGGAAUCUUCGGCAAUGGGGGAAAGUCUGACCGGGCAACGCCGCGGGAGUGAAGAAGGUUGUCGGAUCGUAAAGCUCUGUUGUAAGAGAAGAACGGGUGUGGGAGUGGAAAGUUCACACUGUGACGGUAGCUUACCAGAAAGGGACGGCUAACUACGUG
rnacentral:rRNA from 1 species